rnacentral:lncRNA from 1 species
CCGACCUCAUCUUAAUUCAUUACAUCUGUGGAUGACCCUGUUUCCAAACAAGGUCACAUGCUGAAGUUAGGACUUCAGCAUAUGAACUUAGGGGGACACAGUUCAAGCCAUCACGAGGACACAGGAGGGGAAAGAGGGAGAUGGGGAGGGUGGGAGAGGGGCCGGGCCCUGGGGAAAUGGGACUGGAGAUGAAGCUGAGGCUGUUUGAGGUGAGCAGCUGCCUUAGGCCAGGCUUGGGGCUGCACUUGAGGAAACCCAUGGCCUGGAACCCCCAGCCUGUUUAGUGGCCAGUGAGUGAGUGGCCAUCCUGGAAGUCCUUUCUAGUCCCUGUAUUCGUGCUGAGAUCUGGGGGCAACACUGCGCCAGACGCCAACCCAAUGGGCCCUCUCCCAGAGCCAGGGCCUCAGCCAGGACCACCGUCCCAGGGUCAGAGAGCCCUCAGCAAAGACCUGCAGACCAAGGGACUCCUUUGGCAGCAAAGAAGGAACAAUGUGAGUGCGGCAGCCACUGUCCCACCGAUCUGCUCCACUGGAAGCUUCGUCCUGGCGAAGCAGUGAAAUAAAUGCACAGGUAAGGUGCCA